ensembl:lncRNA
AUGAAACCGCUGUGUUCUGUUUCAAUAAACAUGCAUUACAUGCCUCAGCAAAAGAGCUUUCUUCCUCCCUCUACUAUUACCCGCGACAUAAGCGAAGCCUCUCCCCCGAGAGACGCUUCGCAAAGCGGAAGCUCGGGGAAACCCGAGGAGGUGACUAUGUAUGUUCCCGUGCAAGAAGCCGCGGACGAGUCACCUGCCAUUCAUAUAGCGGUCAAUGCUUCCCCGGUGGCUGGCGCGCAGCCCCCGCCGCAGCAUGCAUUAAUGCCCCCUGUAUCGAGUCAUCUAAGCGCUUGGUCGGCGCUCCCGGCGGCAUCUUAUUGGGUGAUCAACACCAUAAAACGCGGCUAUACGCUCCAGUUCGCUCGCAGACCACCCCGCUUCGGCGGUGUAAUUAUGACAGAGGUAUCAGAACAGAGCGCCCCGCUGCUACGGGCAGAAAUCUCAUCUCUCCUGGCCAAACAAGCAGUAGAGAUAGUGCCCGAGGAGCGGAGAAAUUCCGGGUUCUACAGCCGUUAUUUUCUAGUUCCGAAAAAGGACGGAGGUAUGCGCCCCAUCUUAGACCUGAGAUUACUGAACAAAGCGCUCGCGAAACGCACGUUCAAGAUGAUAACGGUGAAGCAGAUCCUCGCGCACAUUCAGCCCGACGAUUACUUCAUUGCAGUGGAUCUGAAGGAUGCGUACUUCCACAUCCAGAUAGCCCCACAUCACAGGCGCUUCCUGCGUUUUGCAUUCGAGGGUGUGGCAUACCAGUUCAAAGUGUUGCCGUUUGGGCUCGCUUUGGCCCCCCGUGUAUUUACAAUGUGCAUGAAUACAGCGCUCGCUCCCCUGAAGCUCAGUGGAAUGCGCAUACUGAACUAUCUCGACGACUGGUUAGUCAUCGCGCGGUCGAGAAGCGCUCUCGAGGAACACAAACACAGACUCCUCGCCCACCUGACAGGUUUGGGGCUGUCUGUGAACAUUCAGAAGAGCACACUGCAGCCGCGCCAAUCUAUCACAUUCCUGGGUAUGAUACUGGACUCGCGCACUAUGAUCGCGAAUCUGUCAGAGCCGAGAAUCCAGUCGAUUCACAAUACACUAGCCCUCUUCGUUCAAGGCAGAGCUAUCCCCUUAAGAACGUUUCAGAGGUUGCUCGGUCUGAUGGCGGCUGCAGCCUCCGUCUGCAGACUGGGCUUGUUGCACAUGAGACCGCUUCAACACUGGUUACAGGGCCGAGUGCAGCCGCGGGCGUGGAGAGCGGGAACGGAACGCCUUAUCAUAACGCGUUCAUGUCUCGAGACUCUGGCGCCUUGGUUCGGCACGACCAUAUUCGAGCAGGGUGCUGCUAUGGGCAGAGUGGUCAGACGUGUAGUGGUCACUACGGAUGCAUCACUAUCGGGCUGGGGAGCCCUAUGCGAUGGCAGACCAGCAUUCGGUACGUGGGCAGGGGACCAGACGCGCUGGCAUAUAAACUGCUUGGAGAUGGAAGCGGUUCAUCUAGCGCUGCAGAGUUUCCUUCCGUUCGUGAAAGACCGUCAUGUUCUCAUCAGAACGGACAACACGGCGGUGGUGGCGUACAUCAAUCGCCAGGGAGGUUUGCGUUCGCGAUCCCUGCAGGGAUUAGCGAGACAGCUGCUGUUAUGGACGGACAGGGUACUUCUGUCGAUUCGAGCAGUCCACGUACCGGGCAGUUUGAAUUGUGGCGCGGACAUGCUGUCCAGGGACGGCAUUGUACACGGAGAAUGGAGGCUCCAUCCGCAAACGAUAAAUAUGAUCUGGAAUCUGUUUGGCAGAGCGGAGAUCGACCUCUUUGCGUCGCAGGAGAACACCCACUGCCCUCUGUACUUCUCGCUGACAGCAUCCCCCCUGGGGGGAGACGCGCUGUCGAGCCGCUGGCCCAAGGGACGGAAGUAUGGUUUUCCCCCAGUCAAGUUAAUGCCGCUGGUGCUGCAAAAGAUCAGGGAGGAGAGAUGUGCGUUGAUUCUGGUAGCACCCAAAUGGCCCAACCAGCCGUGGUUCCCGGAACUGGUGAACAUGUCGCGCCUUCCCCCGUGGCGGAUCCCGCCGAGAAGGGACCUUUUAUCCCAGGCGAGGGGCACCAUAUGGCACCCCAACCCAGAGCUUUGGGACCUACAUGUGUGGCAGAUCAGCGUGGAGUAUAUCAGCGAGUGCUGCAGACAAUAG